UAUAAAGGAAAGAAAUAGAAGUUUUUACAGUGACCCAUAUGUAAUCAAAGUAACUCAUAUCAUGAGCAGUGAAUACAAGAAUAUAAGUGCAAUUCUAGUGGAUCACACCAGAGGUCCAUCCAGUUGAGCGUCCUAUCUCCAGGAGUGUCAGUAGCAGGUGUGUAAGGUAGUAUCCUCAUGGAAGUGUGUUUUGUGACAGCGAGAUCUCACUCAAAAAAGGCAGUGAUGGCAGACCUCAGUGCUCACCACUGAAUAGCUCCAACAGGCACGCAGCCGGAAAGCAGCUCUCGCAGCAGGACCAUGCACAACACAGAGGUGCAGGCACAGAUGAGGGCAGA